rnacentral:rRNA from 1 species
UACGUAGGUGGCAAGCGUUGUCCGGAUUUAUUGGGCGUAAAGGGAGCGCAGGCGGUGACUUAAGUCUGAUGUGAAAGCCCACGGCUCAACCGUGGAAGGUCAUUGGAAACUGGGUCACUUGAAUAUAGAAGAGGAAAGUGGAAUUCCAUGUGUAGCGGUGAAAUGCGUAGAUAUAUGGAGGAACACCUGUGGCGAAGGCGACUUUCUGGUCUAUUAUUGACGCUGAGGCUCGAAAGCAUGGGUAGCAAACAGGAUUAGAUA